UAUAGUAAAUACAAACACAUCGUAUACGUAUUAUGUACAUAUAUAUGUAUAUGUACACAUAGUCGAAAUAAGAAGAAAAUGAUCAUUGCGAGCAAGAUUCGAAUAAUGUAACAUGACACAUUCACACGUGGAAUAAAUAUAGAAGUAACAUCCUUACCCAUUUUUUUCACUAAACAAAAAAUGGAAAAUAUAAUUUCACUAGACACUUAGCACAAAUUAUUGCAACCGUUAUAUGAUAACUAUGAGUAUAUAAUGUCAUCUGUCAGAAAAAAUAUAACCACUUGGCAAUAUACCGGACAGCUACAAGCAUGUACAUGUUGCCAGGUUGAAUCUGCUGUCACGCCUUGGGCUUCUCGGUGCAUCGUGAGCAGGUGCCAGGUAAGGGGUUAGAAAAGUUGGUGCCCGCGGCAUAAUUUCUUUUUCUUUUUCUUUUUCACAAUUGUAUUUAUAAUUGUUAAUAAUAUUAAUGAAGAAAUAAUAAAAGCAUUAUUGAAAAUUUUUUAUUUUAUUAAAACAAAUAAUUCUUCAAUUGUAUUGUGUUCUUCAUUAUAAAGAAUAAAACAAAAUUUAUAUGUAUUUGUGUGUAUUACGAAAGAAAAUUAAUUAAAAAGUAUAUAUUUGUAUUAUAUAUGUAUAAAGAAUAUGUAUAAAGAAUAAAUAUUUAUGCAUUAACAAAGUCAAAUUAUGAUUACGUAUCAAUUAUUUUUAUAUAUACGGCUAAAUAAAACAUAAUAUUUAAUGUUUAGUUGUAUAAUAUGUAUACGCAAUAAAAAAUUAAAAUAAAAUCUUUUAGAUACACUUACUUUUAUAAA